rnacentral:rRNA from 1 species
UCUUCCACAAUGGACGCAAGUCUGAUGGAGCAACGCCGCGUGAGUGAAGAAGGUUUUCGGAUCGUAAAGCUCUGUUGUUGGUGAAGAAGGAUAGAGGUAGUAACUGGCCUUUAUUUGACGGUAAUCAACCAGAAAGUCACGGCUAACUACGUGCCACCAGCCGCGGUAAUACGUAGGUGGCAAGCGUUGUCUGGAUUUAUUGGGCGUAAAGCGAGCGCAGGCAGAAGAAUAAGUCUGAUGUGAAAGCCCUCGGCUUAACCGAGGAAUUGCAUCGGAAACUGUUUUUCUUGAGUGCAGAAGGGGAGAGUGGAACCCCAUGUGUAGCGGUGGAACGCGUAGAUAUAUGGAGGGACACCAGUGGCGAAGGCGGCUCUCUGGUCUGUAACUGACGCUGAGGCUCGAAAGCGUGGGGAGCAAACAG